CCUAUUUCUGUCUCCAUGACCUAAUCAUGACUGAGUUGCAUUAUACACAGGCAUAUUCAGCAUUUAACUAGUGUUUUUAAAACCUUUAUAUCUAUACAGGUAUAACAAAAUUUUCUAAAACAUAUCCCAUGAAGCUUGGAGUAUGAGUUUAUUUCCCCAAAGUUAAGAAAUCUAUGAGUGAAACUGUUGGAAAACAACAUUUAGGAAAAACAAACAAAAAAUGCAAAGCUCUCCAGACAUGAUGCUCUCAAUCUGUGACUAACUCCCAAUCAUCCUUCACUUUGGAAAUUUUGCUAAAAACAUCUGCAUUUCACCUGAGAUUGGAUACGUACAAGUCACAUGGCUGAAGUAUUACACGAAGGAAGACAGAACUGAAUGGGACAUCUCUGCUCAUGUAAUUAUAAGCCUUCACAACUUGAUGCAGCUCCAUCUCAGAAACAGAUGCUUAUGGUUGCUAGCCAGGGUUUUUUUGUACCUUUUCUACUCUGACAAGAAGCCUGUUCACCAUUCUACUGCUAAAAUGAUUGGUAAUCUUCUAAUUUCCGUAUGCCUUUAGGGUCAGAAUUACUACAGCUAAGCAGUUCUCGGAAAUGCUUUAGG